rnacentral:lncRNA from 1 species
CUGGGGGGACAUUCAUCCUCGGCUUACGAAGAUGACCGGAUUAAGAGAUUAAAGACAGGCAUAGGAAAUCACAGGGGUAUUGAUUGGGGAAGUGAUAAGUGUCCAUGAAAUCUUCACAAUUUAUGUUCAGAGAUUGCAGUAAAGACAGGCAUAAGAAAUUAUAGAAGUAUUAAUUUGGGGAACUAAUAAAUGUCCAUGAAAUCUUCACAAUUUAUGUUCUUCUGCUGUGGCUUCAGCCGGUCCCUCUGUUCAGGGUCCCUGACUUCCCGCAACACGUUUCUCUCUACUCACAGACUUCUGACCAAAUGUGUGUGCGGAGUUUCUACACCAAUUCUCCAACUCUCUGGAUACCAACCGCAUAUCCCACAAUUCCAUUCUGACACUGCCUAGAGUUAGCGCAGAACCCACAGGUUAGGGGCUCAGUCCCGCAAGACCACCCUCACUUCAGAUGCCAGUUGCAAGUCCUAGGUUGUCACCUGUAUUUUGACCAACCAGUUAGAAAUCAGGGUUUCCCAUGACCCUCUUCUUGAGUUUAGUUAUUUACUAGAACAACUCACAGAACUUAGAAAAACAGGUUUUUUUCUUUUCUUUUUAAGAGACAGGGCCUCGCUCUGUUGUCCAGGCUGGUGUGCAGUGGUGCAAUCAUAGCUCAUUGAAGCCUCAACCUCCAGGGCUCAAGUGAUUCUCCUGCUUCAGCCUCUCAAGUAGCUGAAAUUACAGGGUUCCCACCACCACAUCUGGCUAAUUUCUUUUAUUUUUUGUAUAGAUGGGGUCUUCUUAUGUUGCCCAGGCUGGUCUCAAAUUCCUAGGCUCAAGUGAUUCCGCCCACCUCUGCCUCCCAAAGUGCUGGGAUUACAGUCAUGAGCCAGCGCAUCUGGCCACCUUAUUUUCUAUUACUGGCUCAAUGUAAUGGCUCCAUCUCAGGAACAGCCAAUGAAAGAGAUGCACAGGACAAGAGAUGGGGCCUCAGUAUGUUGCCACGGCUGACCUUGAACUCCUGCACUCAAGGGAUUUUCCUGCCCUGGCCUCCCAAAGUAUUGGUAUUACAGGCAUGAGCCAUUGUGCCCACCGUCUCUGGUUCUUAACCUUCUACUUCCCUCUUCCAGUUUUAAAGAAUGCUUGUAAUUACAUGGGCUCUCCUAGAUACUCCAGGAUAAUCUUGUUUUAAGGUCAGCUGAUGAGCAACAUUAAUUUUAUCUGCACUCUUAAUUCCCCCUUCCUAUGUAAUUGUGCUGUGUAACAUAGGACAUGAGCAAUUGGUGGGGGUGGGGGUUAUUACUUUGGCCACCACAGUAUUUUAUGCCAGGUACUCAGCUAAGCACUGGUGAAUUAAGCAUGAAUAACACACACUCCCUAAUCUCCAUCCAUUCAUGGGAGGAGCACCUCACCUGCCAUGCUCCUGAGAAUCUGGGGAGUCAAAGAAGUCUUCCAUGAGGAGGUGAUGCCAAAGCGGACAAGUGACAGAGUCGAAGCUAGCUAGGAAGAGAGUAGAGGUUUAAGGGGAAGCGUAUUAUAAGCAGAGGAUAUCACCCACUUCAGAGACUCCCAGAGGAGAAAGAGUGUGUGUUCAAAGGGCAGAUGAGGCUCAGUUGGACUCCAUAGCAGAUGAAAUGGAGAGGGGCAAGCAAUGAGGCUGCCUUGCAAGGCAGGGCAGAGCAGGGGCUGUUGAAGGGUUUGGACUUAAUCCCUGAGGCAAGGAGAAGUGAUGUAAAUGGGGGAGUAACAUGAUGAGAUUAAUGGAUUAGAGACAUGGCUCAGGCUGCUGUAGAGAAGGCACCAGGGAGAGCAGAUGGCUCAAUGGGUGUGUAGGAGACCUCUCACUGAGUUUAGGGAGAGGUUUUUAAAACAGAAGAAGUUUGAGUAAUUUAAAUGAUGAUGGGAAGGAGCUAAAAGUAGGGGAUAGGUUAAAGAUACAGGAAAGUGGGAGGAAGAACUGACAAGUGAGGUUCCAGAGAGGGCAGGAGAAGAGGAGAUUCCCAUAGGGGGAUUAACACUUUCUUUUCUUUUUUCUUUCUAAGACAGGGUCUCACUCUGUCGUCCAGGCUGGAGUGCAGUGGCACAAUCUUGGCUCACUGUAGUGUAGGCUUCCCAGGCUCAAGGGAUUCUCCCACCCCAGACUCCCAAGUAGCUGGAACUACGGGUGUGCACCACCACCACACCUGGCUAAUGUUUCUUUUUUUGGUAGACACAGAGUCUCACUAUUUUGCGCUGAUUGGUCUCCAACUCCUGGCCUCAAGCGAUCCUCCUGCCUAGGCUUCCCAAAUUGCUGGGAUUACAGGCAUGAGCCAUAAUGCCUGGCCUCUGCUAGUUCUGUAUUCUCUAGAGUUGUCUUUACUUUGUGCUAGCGUGUCCCUCAUUGUGCUAAUCCUCUGUAAAAAUUAAUACCUUUUUUUCUUUUCGAGAUGGA